rnacentral:lncRNA from 1 species
CAGAGCACCACUUUGUGAGAACAUCCCUUUUGUACUUUGAAAGGGAUGACAGAAAUAUUAAAGAAGAUGUCCUUAGGACUCUUAUUGGUGAGACAGACUCUUAAAAGAAGGAACAUCUUCUUCGGUAAGAAUAAUGAAAUGUCAUCAUGCUAAGAGAUUUGGACCAGCUCUAUAAAUUAAACAGAAUGCGAUGACAGCCUUGAGGCGGAGAGAACAUCAUUUAAAUGACCAGGAGAGAACACUGACUGGCAACAGCAGAUGGGAAUCAGUCCACAAGAAGUGUCUUAAUCACUAUUUUUGCAUACAGAUACUAUCCCUGUGCAAUUUGUGCCUGGGAAAAGCAACCUCUCUUAAUCUUUCUUUU